GACGAACGCUGGCGGCGUGCUUAACACAUGCAAGUCGAACGGAAAGGCCCUGCUUGCAGUGUACUCGCGUGGCGAACGGGUGAGUAACACGUGGGUGAUCUGCCCUUCACUUCGGGAUAAGCCUGUGAAACUGGGUCUAAUACCGGAUAGGAGCCAUUUUUAGUGUGAUGGUUGGAAAGUUUUUUCGGUGUAGGAUGAGCUCGCGGCCUAUCAGCUUGUUGGUGGGGUAAUGGCCUACCAAGGCGGCGACGGGUAGCCGGCCUGAGAGGGUGGACGGCCACAUUGGGACUGAGAUACGGCCCAGACUCCUACGGGAGGCAGCAGUGGGGAAUAUUGCACAAUGGGCGCAAGCCUGAUGCAGCGACGCCGCGUGGGGGAUGACGGCCUUCGGGUUGUAAACUCCUUUCGCUAGGGACGAAGCUUUUUGUGACGGUACCUAGAUAAGAAGCACCGGCUAACUACGU
rnacentral:rRNA from 1 species